GUGAGGAAUAUUGGUCAAUGGGCAGGAGCCUGAACCAGCCAAGUCGCGUGAAGGAAGAAGGAUCUAUGGUUCGUAAACUUCUUUUGCAGGGGAAUAAAGUGCAGGACGUGUCCUGUUUUGUAUGUACCCUGAGAAUAAGGAUCGGCUAACUCCGUGCCAGCAGCCGCGGUAAUACGGAGGAUCCGAGCGUUAUCCGGAUUUAUUGGGUUUAAAGGGUGCGUAGGUGGUUUGAUAAGUCAGCGGUGAAAGUUUGCAGCUUAACUGUAAAAAUGCCGUUGAAACUGUCGGACUUGAGUGUAAAUGAGGUAGGCGGAAUGCGUGGUGUAGCGGUGAAAUGCAUAGAUAUCACGCAGAACUCCGAUUGCGAAGGCAGCUUACUAAGCUACAACUGACACUGAAGCACGAAAGCGUGGGGAUCAAACAGGAUUAGAUACCCGAGUAGUCC
rnacentral:rRNA from 1 species